rnacentral:rRNA from 1 species
CAACGGAUCUCUUGGUUCUGGCAUCGAUGAAGAACGCAGCGAAAUGCGAUAAGUAAUGCGAAUUGCAGAAUUCCAGUGAGUCAUCGAAUCUUUGAACGCACAUUGCGCCCUUUGGUAUUCCGAAGGGCAUGCCUGUUCGAGCGUCAUUAUCACCCCUCAAGCCCUCGGCUUGGUGUUGGACGGCUUGGUGGAGACCCCCUUUGCGGGCUUCUACCCCUCCCAAAGACAAUGACGGCGGCCUCGUUGGACCCCCGGUACACUGAGUUCUUCACGGGACACGUAUCGGACACAUGGGUUCACGGGACACGGUCUGCCUCCCCUCAGGGAGAAUCUUUUUUUAUCAAGGUUGACCUCGGAUCAGGUAGGGAUACCCGCUGAACUUAAGCAUAUCAAUAAGCGGAGGAAAAGAAACCAACAGGGAUUGCCUCAGUAACGGCGAGUGAAGCGGCAACAGCUCA